AUUGAACGCUGGCGGCAGGCCUAACACAUGCAAGUCGAACGUGUGGCGGACGGGGGAGUAAUGUCUCGGAAACUCCUUGAUGGAGGGGGAUAACUACUGGAAACGGUAGCUAAUACCGCAUUCCAUCGGAUUAUCCCAGAUGGGAUUAUCUAGUAGGUGGGGUAGAGGCCCACCUAGGCCACGAUCCCUAGCUGGGCUGAUAGGAAUACCAGCCACCGUGGAACUGAGACACCGUCCAGACUACUACGGGAGGCAGCAGUGGAGAAUAUUGCACAAUGGGCGCAAGCCUGAUGCAGCCAUGGCGCGUGUAUGAAGAAGGCCUUCGGGUUGUAAAGUACUUUCUGCGGGGAGGCGUUACCCGCAGAAGGAGCACCGGCUAACUACGUGCCAGCAGCCGCGGUAAUAC
rnacentral:rRNA from 1 species